CAGUGUCCUGAUGGCUGACGGAGCUUCUACUCCAGGUUCAAGGGCAGCGGUCCUCAGGAGACCCCAAAACUUCACAUCUUCAGUUAGAUAUGAUACCUGACAAUAGGACAUCACAGAAGGAUGUGAACACUGAGCCCCAGAAACAAGAUCCAGUAGAAAGAACCAGUUGUGAUGUUGAGUCUGCUAGACAGGUUCCUGGAGCAAGAGUGAAGAGAUUGGAUCCCAUCAUUGGGACACUUUAGGUCCUCUUUACAAAGAGUAACAGCUUGUGCUGCCUCCUGGGUUCAGUUCAGCACCUCAGGAAUCAGCUUAUCAUUGUGGCCGCCACAGCCAUUCCUCCUGGCCCAGGGAGUAGGACUUCAUCCCCGUUAUCAUCUUCAUGUCCAGUGGGGAGCAUGAUACAACCUAGAUUCUACAUCAGGUGAGUUUUCCACUAUCAGUCUUUAAGCCCUGGAAAUCCAUCAUCUAAAAUGGAGCUGCUGGUUGGCCUGUGCAGAGGGCAAAGGGUAGAUAUCUGACCCUGGAAAUUUUACAUUCUCCAUCAGUCUGAGGUUGACCAUCUGUACAAGAGGACUACAGCUGCCUACUUCUAGACUUGUUAGAAGAAAAGGAGAAAACCUCAAAGAACAGCUCAUACACAACAGGACUUUGAGAUGUAUUACUUCUGGCCC
rnacentral:lncRNA from 1 species